GGAUUAGAUACCCUGGUAGUCCACGCCGUAAACGAUGUCUAUUAGGAGCUUGUGGUCAUGAACUGUGGGUUCCAAAGCUAACGCAUUAAAUAGACCGCCUGGGGAGUACGGCCGCAAGGUUAAAACUCAAAUGAAUUGACGGGGGCCCGCACAAGCGGUGGAGCAUGUGGUUUAAUUCGAUGCAACGCGAAGAACCUUACCUACUCUUGACAUCCAGAGAAGCUGAAAGAGAUUUUAGUGUGCCUUCGGGAGCUCUGAGACAGGUGCUGCAUGGCUGUCGUCAGCUCGUGCCG
rnacentral:rRNA from 1 species